AACGAACGCUGGCGGCGUGGCUAAGGCAUGCAAGUCGAACGAGAAAGCAUCCUUCGGGAUGCCGGUAAAGUGGCGGAAGGGUGAGUAAUGCAUAGACAACCUAUCCUCGAGAGGGGCAUAAUCCCGCGAAAGCGGGGGUAAUACCGCGUACGAUCCUGAUUUUAUCAAGUUGGGAUGAAAGAUGGGGAUCCUUCGGGACCUAUCGCUCGGGGCUGGGUCUAUGUCCUAUCAGCUUGUUGGUGAGGUAACGGCUCACCAAGGCGACGACGGGUACGGGGCCUGAGAGGGUGUUCCCGCACACUGGGACUGAGACACUGCCCAGACUCCUACGGGAGGCUGCAGUCGAGAAUCCUCGACAAUGGGCGCAAGCCUGAUCGGGCGACGCCGCGUGCAGGAUGAAGGCCUUAGGGUUGUAAACUGCUGUCACGGUGUAGGAAGGCCCUCGAGAUAAUAUCAAGGGGGAUGACCCCA
rnacentral:rRNA from 1 species